ACUAACAAGGAUUCCCCUAGUAACGGCGAGUGAAGCGGGAAGAGCUCAAAUUUGAAAUCUGGUGGCCUCAGGUCAUCCGAGUUGUAAUCUAUAGAAGUGUUUUCCGUGCUGGCUCAUGUACAAGUCCCUUGGAACAGGGCGUCAUAGAGGGUGAGAAUCCCGUCCUUGACAUGAACUACCAGUGCUCUGUGAUACAUUUUCAACGAGUCGAGUUGUUUGGGAAUGCAGCUCAAAAUGGGUGGUAAAUUCCAUCUAAAGCUAAAUAUUGGCGAGAGACCGAUAGCGAACAAGUACCGUGAGGGAAAGAUGAAAAGCACUUUGGAAAGAGAGUUAAACAGUAUGUGAAAUUGUUGAAAGGGAAACGAUUGAAGUCAGUCGUGCUCUUUGGAUUCAGCCGGUUCUGCCGGUGUACUUCCUUUGAGUGGGGUCAACAUCAGUUUUGAUCGCUGGAUAAAGGCUGGAGGAACGUAGUACCCUCGGGUAAACUUAUAGCCUCCUGUCACAUACAGUGGUUGGGACUGAGGAACGCAGCACGCCUUUAUGGCCGGGAUUCGUCCACGUACGUGCUUAGGAUGUUGAC
rnacentral:rRNA from 1 species